CUUCUGUUUCCACUGUCGCCUCGUGUGACACAAACUGCCACCUAUCUCCCAAGCUUAAUGCAGUUAAGUAACAAGAUCUUGGAAGACAAGUGUUGAAGGUGAAAGAGGCACAAGAUAGAAGAAACCUGGGUCCUUAGAUCCUUGCUUGGAGGAAAACCACCUGCCAAUCCAGAACAUCAUUUUGGACUUCAUGUGGGAUCAUUACUUGCCAGCCUUCCAGCUGAUGCCAGUGGCAACAGCACGACAGGCUGAACUGGAUUCUUUAUGACUAUGUAUUCAUUAGGGGGAAAAAGCACUUCCAAUGCAAAUGAUUGAAAUGGAAACAAGAUGUGCACUCUGCUGCCUAAAUGAAAGCUCUACCAGGUAGGCCAUUCAAACUCAAUUAAGAGUAGCAAAACAGGAUCUAUCAGGACAGUGGCUGUAACCCCUGUCACAGAGAAUGGACAGUGAGCGGUCCAAAUGGAUUGGGGGGCAUGAAUGGCACCUGACUUACAGCAGGAGCUCAGCACUUUUACUCUCUUUGCCGCUUCACUGGAACCAGGAGAAAAAGACAUUAGGAUGAAGGAUAAUGUGUGAUACACACAUAAAGAUGAAAGCGAGAGGGACACAUGCAAUGUCACUUAUUGGAAGGACCACUUUAGGCUGCUCUGUCCUCUCUCCCCUGAAAACAUGUUCCACAUUGUUUUAACCAUCUGUGGCCCACUCUGGAGCUCAAGGAACCCUGGCCUUUCUGCUUUAUUGUGAGCACAGCCAUAUGAAACUGCAAUCUGGCAGCUGAAGGGGAAAGUACUUUUACUGUCUCUGCUGAGAAAGGGUUUGGAUGAAUCGAAUCCCCUGUUAUGCGUGAAAUUGUACCCUCUAGAAAGCUCUGUUGAUGACCCAACCCACGGUACCUGUGAAUGUGACCUUAUUUGAAAAUAUGGUCUUAUAAAUGUAAUCAAGCAAAGAUGAGAUGAUACUGAAUUAGGGUGGGCCUCCACCAACAUGACUGGUGUCCUUAUGAGAAGCAAGGAAGAGACAUAAGGAGAACAUGGUGUGACAAUUGAGACAGAGAUUGGAGUGAUGCAUCUACAAGCCAAGAAAUGUCAAGGGCCGUGAGCCACACCAGAAGCUAAGAGAAAGGCAUGGGACUGACCCUCCCCUAGAGCCAUCAGAAAGAGCCUGACCCUGGCGGCACCUUGCUUUUGGACUUCUAGACUCCAGAAUUAUGAGAAUAAAUUUGUGUUGCUUUAAGCCACUCAGUUUGUGGUAAUUUGUUAUGACAGUUCUAAGAAACUAAUCCACCCUGCUAAAGAGUAAAUGUCUGAUGCAAAACUCACUACAUGGAUGAAAAGGCUGAGAUAUUCCGAAGAGUCAUAAUGAACUGUGCCGUCAUCUACAAAGGAAGUGCAGCACUGCAACAACUCAAGAUAGAUUCUGGAGACGUGGCAGGACAGACGUGCCUACCAGACUAGGAGCACUUUCAGGACAGCGUCAUGCCUUGUUCUCCUCCACAUCCCUCCGUGCCUGAAAAUCAGAAAUGCUCAAUUAAAUGUUGAAAAUGUCAAUAAAUUCAUAGGAAAACGAUCUCAGAUAAGUCAAUAACGUUAUGUUAUUUUAUUUUAUUUUUGAAAUGGAGUCUUGCUUUGUCACCCAGGCUGGAGUGUAGUGGCACGAUCUCAGCUCAUUGCAACCUCUGCCUCCCAGGUUCAAGCGAUUCUCCUGCCUCGGCCCCCUGAGUAGCUAGGAUUAUAGGCAUGCACCACCACGUCCAGCUAAUUUUUGUAUUUUUAGUGGAGACGGAGUUUCACCAUGUUGGUCAGGCUGGUCUCGAACUCCUGACCUCGUGAUCCACCCACCUCGGCUUCCCAAAUUGCUGGGCUUACAGGUGUGAGCCACCGCACCCAGCCAUGAUUAACCUUAUUUUAUGAUGUCAUGUAAGUCCUUACCACCACCUUCCAUGAAGACGUAACUGACAAAGACAUCUGAUUUGAUGCUUUCAUUGGAGAAACCCACCCUUGGCCAUUGAAGAGCACAACUUUGGGUUUCUUUGAGAUUUAAUCUGGUCCUUGGAUUCCCAAAUGGCAGACGUGGCCAGUAACAGCUUUUUACAAAUCUUCAAAUCCCACUGACACUGGGAUUCUGCCCCUCAGACGUGGCUGUGGUUUUUUCACUGGCAGGGCAGGAUAUGUUACUCUCCGCUUAACAUCGGCCCACUCACAGUGUUAGUUAGCCUGCUGUUUCAUACAUGAAUCCAUCUGAAAUGCCUCCGAGUCUCCAGGUGAAGGGUGCUGCCAUCAGCAGCAGCCAAUAAAUGAAAUAAUACCAAAUAUAAAAUCAGCCACAUUGGUCUCCUGGAGGUAAAUAGAGCACAGGGGCGUUUCAUUUACUGAAAGGCCAGAAUUGCGAUACCUGUAAAUGUUGAAUGUGAAUGUGUUUUAUAAAGUGUAAAGGGCUGUAAAGAAGUCAGUUAUUAUGUUUAUUAUUGCUCCUGCUCUGUACACUUGAUCAAAUGACAAACCCAAAGGCUCACCUCUCUGGGCUCCGGUUUCCUUACUCAAAUGAGGGAAUUAUGUUUAAUAUCCCAAGCUCCCAACUAAAUCUUUUUUUUUUCCUUUGACUCUAUGAAUCUAUCAGCAGGAACUUCCAUCCAAAUUCCUGAAAUGUGGGAAUAUAUUUGAUGACGCUGUUUACAUAUAAUAUUAAUUUAUUUUGCAUAAAUUUUUCAGAAUAUGUUUUGUAUAACAUAGAAGAUGAAGGGGGAAAAAGUAAAGUAAGAUGGGAAAGUAGGCCAUAAGGAAGGAUAAGGAGAAACGCUUAAGAAAAUCCACCUAUUAUAAUAAUUAAAAUUCAGCUUACCUGGAAAGGGGAGGAGAGCAUUUAUGAUUAACAUGAAUGUAGUCUGUGCUCAUUGCAAAGUAAAUUUUCAGAAAAAAAGGGCAAAAUCUGAUUAUUUUAAUCGUCAGAUUAAAUGCAAUUAGAAAUCCCACCUACCUUUUAAAGUAAACAGCAAACUUAGUAUUUUACUACAUAAAAGAAACAAUUGAAAUAAUCCUAACUUCAGGUUAUCGUUGCAUAUAACAGAACAUUAUAUUUGAAAAUGAUCCUCAUUGAGUUUUUUGGAUUCAACAACUUUUUCUGUGGCUAAAAAUGUCCCUUGAGUUUCUGAAAUCUGCUAGAAUGCUGGGAAGAGCUGUGCAGAAAUACCUCCAAAGGGUCAGAAAGUAAUUUAGGAUUUUUAAUUCAAUGGAAUCAAUCUUUCUUGUGUAUUUUUACUUACUUUUUUAGACAAUAGGCCAAUGAUUGUAGGGUUUGUUCUAGCCUUGAAACCAACUCUCUGCAGAGCAAUUCCUGUUUCCACAAAGGGUGCAUCAGGAUGCAUGGGACCCCCGGAUCACAGGCCCCACGUGUGAACGAAGCAACACAGACCAUGGAUAACAGAGACCUCUCUAGGAUCUGCAAACUGAGGCACAAAGAGAUUCAGUAAUUUGUCCAAGGUUACAUGCAUUGCUAGAGAGUGGUAGAGCCAGUGAGUUGAACCCAGGCCCAGACAAAAGCAAGUAUAUACCCAUUUUCCAUGCUGCCUUACUACAUAAAUAAGGUUGACUUGACCAUGCUCUCCAAUUUGAAGUGGGUACUAUGACCGAGGCAUAGUGCUUGCCAUUGUUUUACCUUGACUUCCUCACUUCGUACACCAAGG
rnacentral:lncRNA from 10 species